rnacentral:lncRNA from 1 species
GAUAAUCAAAGAUCGAUCUUCCACUCCCACUCUCCUAGUCUCUCUGACUAUAGCCAUGGUCGACCCGUGGCUAGCUCCAAAAAAACUAAUUUUUUGACUGCAACAUGCCGUUUGUCGGUCAUGCAGCAGUGAUCGCCUUACUAGAAGCCCAGAAGAAAAACUAACUCUGAUAUCAUACGAAAAAACAUACUCAUCAAUAUGUACAGUGAUUCUAGCUAGAUCUGAAAGAAAAAUUAGACCUUGACUACAACACAUCGUCCGUAAGUGUGUACCAAUGAUCAUUCCACUGGAGGCUCAAAAG